CUGUUCUUGAGGGAAUUAAAUUCCCAACUUUACUCUUGCAAUAGUGUCGGUUGAUUAUAUUAUAUUGAGGGCAAAAAUCUCAUAAUCUCUAAAGCUCUGGUACUUAAAUUUUGUUUUUUGGUAGCUAAAUGGAGAUGUCAAAUUGAGUGCAACAAGCAAAGUGAAAAUUGUUGCUACAGAUUAAUAUAAAAAAGCAUAGCAAGCCAAAGUUUCUUCUUGAACGCUAUGUGAAAAGCAAGACUAAGAGAGAGAAACUGUAGAAAGUGGGACUCCAUGUCAAUAAUAAGACACACUUAAAGAUACUCUCUCUCUCUUUCUCUCUCUCUCUCUCUACACUACUACUUCAUCAUCCUCACGUAUAUAAGGGCCCAUUAAAGCCAAUGCAUGGCCAAAUCAAAAUGAAAGACUCUCUCUCUCUCUCUCUCUCUCUAGUUUAUGCCCAGUUUGAGGGGAAUGCUGUCUGGUUCGAGACCAUUCGCUUGAUGCCACCCAUCACAGCUUCUGAAUGAUCUCGGACCAGGCUUCAUUCCCCCCAACCUAAAGAAAGAAAUUCAAGGAACCCCUCCUGGGCAUUGUCUGAUCCUACGAGUUUUGUCAAUCUUUUCAUAAAAGAAAGAGCAUGCAUGUCUUAACGAAGAUCAAGAAUACAAAUUCAUAUAAAUCUAAUAUCAAAGUUUCCAGGAUGCAACAAGGUAUAAUUGCCUGUGUUAAAUCCAACAUAUGUUUGUAUAUAUAUACACAAGACAUAUAUGUAGCUUCUCUUUUAAUGAUGACUAGAAUUGGCAAUGUGAUCUCGUUUCUCAUUGAUGAAUUGAAGAUCAAUCUUUCUUGGGAAUUGUAACCAAAAGGAUCUUGAAUCUUGCACCAAAUAAUUUUUUCAAAAGAAAGUUAGAUUAAUAAAAUGUCUAGUAAUAUCAGUUCUUUGCUGAAUAUAUAUUUUGAAA